UAAAAGUUGACAAAGCACUUGCUUUUUCUUUUUAUUUGUUUUUCCCUUCAGAAUUUGAACAUUUCAUUUCAGGAUUUGGGGGACCCUUAUCAAGUUGCAAAUUUUAACAGGAUUCUUAGAAGACUCAUUCGAGUUGAAACCCUCUGGUUAGUGGAUAAUUCACUGGUGGAUUUAAGUGCCAUAAGAUUGCCAAGCUGCAGAGUUUUAAAUAUGAACAAAAAUCAUCUCACAUCUUUCAAACAAUUGCCAAAGAUACCACAGAUACAGCAUUUAUUCUUGGCUGAAAACCAUAUUGAGACUCUGACCGGGCUUUCCAGUUUACAGUGCACACCACUAGAAUCCCUCACGCUCAAGAGGAACCCUUGUGAGUUUCACCAAAACUACCGGAAACAAGUAUUCUCCUGUUUGCCAAACUUAAAAAUGCUGGAUGGGAUCCUGAAGUUACCAGAAGACUCUCCACCACCAGAAACCAAUAUUUUUUCAAAAGUCUGUAUUAUAUCCUAAUGUACUCUCUAUAGAAAGAAUCACCAUUGUCUUUAAAAGUUAAUAAACAGGAAAUUCAUGAUUAAAUAUUAUGACUUCAUAUAUAUACACACACACACAUAUUAUAUAUUUAUAUAUUGCUUUCUAUUAAA